GGUGUCCCCUCACUCAGCGUUGAAGCAUUAUGUCUGCGGCUCUGCCCUGAACUAUCCGUUUGAUUCUUUGGUUUUCUGGUACGCUUGUCUGAGCUCCUUAACU